rnacentral:lncRNA from 1 species
CAGUUAGCCUGAAAAUUUGGAAAUCCUAACUCAUAUUUGGACAAAUAAUUUAAAAAUGUUUGCUCUUCAGUUAAAAAAUGUAUCAAAAAUGGGAAAACGAACUAUCCAAAAAAAGAAUCAUAAAAAUAAAACGCUGAGGAAGACUACUUGUCUACAUUCAAAAUGCAGAUCACUGCUUUUAAAGAGGACAGAAAAAGAUCCUUCCUGUCUCAAAGUCUUCCAGGAGUAACCUCUAUCCUGCGUGAAAGAAUUGACUUCCUGCUGGAGAAGCAUCGAAAUCUGUUUGCAGCCCUGUGUGCCUGCCACUCUUCACGCCAAGGCUAUUUAAGGACUAGAGUAAACAUUAUCUUUGGAAAUGCUUUCAGACGUCCAGCUCUGAAUUUCUGUACAGCUUUAAUGGAAUUCGUUAUCCAGACAUGCACUAUCUUGUGGACUGAAUCAUCUUUGUGAAUUAACCAUGGGUUUGUUGAUGCUUUAACUACAAGGCAUUUAAUGAUGUAAAUAAUCAGCCUAUUUCUGAAAUACCUGAGCGUCCAUCAAUGGUAAAGAUUCAGCUGCCUUGACCUGCAAAAGCAUGGUGUUAAGUAGAGAGUAUUUAGUCCUAAUGAAGGUAGGCUACAUGUGAGCAUUCAGUCCUGGUACAAAGUUACCAUCUUCCACUUGGAAUUUUCAUAAGAAAUGGCUUAUAGCAUUUUUUUCAUAUUCUAUGUUAAUUACCUUACUGAUGGAAAAUGAUGUAUUUCCACUUUUUAAAAAAUCAUAGUCCUGCCUCUGCUUUUUUCCCUAUAGUUCUAUUUUUAUUUUCAUUGAUUUUAUUCAUUUAUUCACUCAGUGAAUAUUCAAUUAAUACCAUCUUCCUCUUCCAAUAAGGCAUUGCACGAGGCACUGUGCCCUGCAAGAUGUGACCUCUGCUUCUGUUGGGUUGCAGCCUGGUGUGGUGUAGGCUAGACUUGUGCCCAUGCAUAUGCUAUUCCAAGCAGUGAUGACCUGCCAUAGCUAUGAUGCAGACUGUGUGCUCCAGAAAUCUGAAAUGGAAGGGAUUCUGGCUGUAGUGGGGAUAAUGUUUGGAGCUGAAGGGCGGACUUCCUGUUGAUAAAGAUUGGAAGGCAGAGCUAAGCUAAGAACAUGGAGGCUAGAAAGACACUCUAUGAUUAGAAAAUAGUCCAAAAUAAGUUGCAUUUGGAGUUCAGCCUUGAGGAGUAGUAAGACUUAAGACUGGAGGAAGAGUUGGGAGACAGAUUUUUAGGUUACAUGGUUUGAUCUCAAUUCCGUAGGCAGUGAAGAGAUGGUCACAGCUAUUAAGUAGGAGCUUGGCGACUUGGCUUUGCUCUAAGCAAAUGGUAAGGACAAUCUGCAGGAUGAAUCAGAGGAGGGAAGAAGGUCAGUUGGGAAGUUACUGCAACACUCAAGGUGUGGUGUGAUAAGACUUGGAACGGAGGUGGUGGCAGUAUGACUAAAAGGGAGAGAAGCUAUGUAAUGUGGGAGUGUUUCUUUUCUUUCCCCAGAGAAUUGAGCUCGUGUUGAUUAGUGAGGCAAUAAAAUCAAUUCAGCUUCUGCUAAGGCUGUCA